rnacentral:lncRNA from 1 species
CCGAUCCCCAUCCCGAUCCCCAUCCCGAUCCCCAUCCCGAUCCCCAUCCCGAUCCCCAUCCCGAUCCCCAUCCCGAUCCCCAUCCCGAUCCCCAUCCCGAUCCCCAUCCUGUUCUCCAUCCCCAUCCCGAUUCCCAUCCCCAUCCCGUUCUCCAUCCCCAUCCCGGUGCCUCCCCAUCGCUUCUCCGCUUCACCCUUGGCAGGCAAUUGAUGGAUUUUAGCCUCGCUAUGGAGCCGGCAACGAAGGCAGAGAGGCGAUGGAGGAGGCGGAUUUUUAAUUUUUUUUUUUUAUUUAAUUUUUUUUCCGGGAUUUUCCUGUUGUCCUGGGAUGGCUCCUUCCCGCGGAAGGGCUGAGAGGCAGCGACCUCAAAGACAAAACCAACCCUUCAGCAGCACAGAAUCCAGCCCAGGGUUUACUGAGGACUGCCCCGAGUAAAAAUCCCUCCCAAUUAACAAAUGACUGGAAGAGACUGUGAGCAUCCGUGAUGCAGGAGAGGAAAAUCCUCAGUGCAACCUUCUGAUGCUCCCAGCUGAUCUGGAACUGCUUUGUCACUGGGCUGGUCCUGCCGGAGGAGCAGAGCACUGCUCCAAGUCCCUGUGUGAGGUCUCUGCCUUUUCCUGUGGGUGGGUGCAGUGACCUCUUUCUCACGGUGCCACAAUUGAUGUUUCAAGGCAGAACAGAGGGGGCAAAGCAGGUAGUUAUGAGAUAAUGAGGGUUCACGGGUUCUCUUACAAGCUGCAGGGUCGAGGUCAAGCAGUGUUUAAUAGUUUUGAGAUCUGUAGCGGGGGAAAGGGAAAAACAGAGCGUUUCAUCUGUUUUAUCUGUGUGUUUUUGCCCGACAUCACAGCACAGAGUGAGAGCAUUAAACUGUGGUGUCUCAGAUAAAGCAGCCUGGCCCCCAGGGAGCAGAACUGUGAAACCUCUCCUUGAAUCACAUCUCCAGUACAGAAUUUAUGAGAUCUGUGAACUCUCCCUGUAUCCAUGGCCUCGAGGAAAGCUUCAGGCAGUUUCCACAGUUCAGCAGGAGCACAGCCUGGGCAGCUCUGUAACCUCCUCCAGCAGGCGAAUUCCCAAGGGGAGGCAUCCCCAGGACACUCCAAAAACAGGCAGAGGGAACAGAAAGUUCAGCGCCAGCUCAGAGCGCCUGGAGCUCUGCAGUGUCCUUGAGUGCCCUCCCUCUGCCUCCAUCCCUCCACACGUUCCCUUCUUUCCCUCCACCUUGCCAGCCUCUCCAGCUCUGCUCCAGCCCCAUUUCCUCUCUGUUUUUUGAGAUCCCUUUUUCCUGAGAGGGUUUGGGAUCCCAGGCACGAGUCUGAGUUUCUCUCCGCGUCGCGCUUCUCUCUCAUUUCGCUCCCUCGGUUGCUUUGUCAUGCAAAGCAUUUGGGACAGUGUGGUUGUAAGAUGUGAUUAAAAAUAGUGUUUGAACUCUCUUGGCAUACA